UACAGAGGUCCCAAGCGUUGUUCGGAAUUACUGGGCGUAAAGGGCGCGCAGGCGGCUCGACAAGUCAGAUGUGAAAUCCCCCGGCUCAACCGGGGAACGGCUGGGCAUACUGGCGGGCUUGGGUCGCUCAGGGGCAGACGGAACAGGCGGUGGAGCGGUGAAAUGCGUAGAUAUCGCCUGGAACGCCGAAGGUGAAAACAGUCUGCUGGGGGCGCACCGACGCUGAGACACGAAAGCCAGGGGAGCGAACGGG
rnacentral:rRNA from 1 species